CGUGAUUGCUGCAGCCUGGAGUGGCCGUCCUCGCCCCAUUACUGCCCCCUCGCUCUAAAUCAGCACAUCUGAAAAGUUCCUGGUUUAUAAGAAUCGUCUGCUAGGUUGAGUGAACGUAUAGAUUAACAGAUGCAGAAAUGGAGGCACAGAGAGUUUGUUACGCUGAUAACGCAGCUAGAUGUGGAAGAGGAGGGUUUGAACUCAGGUUUCCUGAAUCCAAAUCUUGGCGAUGUUUAACCUAAGGUGUACUACAUUCUGAGAGCUAGCUGGCAUCAAAGGCACCCACUUUUCCUCCCUGGAGGCAGCCAAUGCUACCAGUUCCCUGUAUCACCUCCCCAUCUCAAGAUCCUUAACUUCAUCGUAUCUUUGAAGUCCCUCUCGCCAUGUAAGAUGUUUUGUGACAUGCUCCUGUCUCCCCAGGGCAUGAUGGAGAGCUGGACCAGAGCUUGAAGCAGGAAGAGAAGACCUGUAGACAAUAUGGGUCUGCCGGGGGAGUGGAGCACGUGGUCAGAGAAGCUGCCCCAAGCGUGGAGCCACAGAAACAUGUGGAAAGAAGGCUUUGGCUCCCCUGAAGCCCAGCGCAUUUCCUACAGCCCAGGUCUGUCAGGCUGCUCUACAUCUUUAUGAUCGGCUCCCUUUGAUGUGAACUUUUCCAAGUUAAAGUCUGUUGCCAGCAACCAGACAAUUCCUGAUGAAACCCUCAGGGUUAUGAUUAUGUCCUGUUAAUAAAUGUUGU